UUUUUUUUUUUUUUUUUUUUUUUGAGACGGGGUCUCGCUCUGUCGCCCAGGCUGGAGUGCAGUGGCCAGAUCUCAGCUCACUGCAAGCUCCGCCUCCCGAGUUUACGCCAUUCUCCUGCCUCAGCCUCCGGAGUAGCUGGGACUUCAGGCGCCCACCACCUCGCCCAGCUAGUUUUUUUUUUUUGUAUUUUUUAGUAGAGACGGGGUUUCACCAUGUUAGCCAGGAUGGUCUCGAUCUCCUGACCUCAUGAUCAGCCCGUCUCGGCCUCCCAAAGUGCUGGGAUUACAGGCUUGAGCCACCGCACCCGGCCUGACCUAUAAAUCUUCAAGUGCAUGCAGAUGUUGUUGUAAUCUGGAGAUAAGCAGCAAUCUACUAGCAAUAGCCUUGCAUCACCAUUCAGCUUUCAUUCUCCUAACCAGCACUGUGAGCCCCCAGUGCCAGUGGGAGCCCUGGUGGCCUGGUCUCAGGGUCAGCAGGAAGGGUCUGCUGUGCCACCACCACCACCACUAGAACAUUGCCCCCUUCAAGGAUUUAUUCCUUGGGUUAUGAUUUAAGCCAUAUCAAUUAUAAUACCUUAGGAAUAAUAGGUCCGUUAAUUUUUUUCCUACCCAUUUGACCCUCUGCUAUGAGCAAGGUUAUUUGCUUUGUUUUGCUUUUGUGUUUGGGUAGGGAUGAGAGAGAGACAGAUCAUGAGGAUCUUCGAGUUGGGGCAUUAGAAUAGCACUGUGGGGGAGGGCAGAGGGACUUGUGUGUGUGGGCAGCAGCACACAGACGGGCUGGGACGUAGGCCUGGAGUGAUGAGGGUCAACCAUAGUCUUUCCGACAUUUCCUGGGGGUCAACCUGCUUUUAACACCCUUAAUUCUUUUCCAACUAGUGUCUCACUGCCCUGCCCCAAAAUCAAGGUGAAGCAGAUACAACUCCAGGCCAAAGACACAUCUCCUAAGACUGACCUUCUGGUCCUGGCCACACGCUGACUAGCUGCUUGUGUCGUUGGACGAGUGACUUCCCGUCUUGUAUCAAGGUGGGCUGCAGAGGGAUGGCGUUGGAGGCAGGAGUGAGUGUGGAGCUGUGAGGACCCAGGGAGGAGGGUUUAGAAGUCAAGGAGGAAGCCGCAGGCAUGUGACUCCUGCACUGGCCUCACCUCUCACCAGCUCUGCAAGGCCCGGAGCUGCCAUCCCAAGGCUGCUUUUCCUUUCCUUUCUUUUUUUAAAAUUCUUUAAUUAAACUUUUUUGAUUAAGUGACAGCUUUUACCACUCCUGGCAGCUGCUGUGAGACAAGAUAAUUUAUAGAUGCAUUGACACUAUAUGAUUAGGACAAGUGCAGUAAAUAACAGAUGAGAAGAUGACUCGUGCAACCUGCAGGGCCCCUCCUCCGUCUCUUCAGUCCAGCCCCCACCAUCUCCCGGUGAGUCCCAGGUAGAUGUCUGCUGCAUCACUCAGGGGCUGCGUGGAGCACUCGGUGCCUUUCCCACCACAAGACGAUAAAGAUGCUGGUGUCGACAAAGUGCUGGUGUCCGUGGACCACAGCUCUGCCCUGGGCCCCAGAGACUUUCUCAGAGACUUGUUUCCACCUGGAGGAAAGACUUGAUGAUUCUCACCCUUGAAAGUGUCUACAGAAGUCCUCUAGUCAGAAUGUCCUUGCUGUGUGUCAGGGCACACUGUGGGCUCUGUCCAGCCAGGCAGGGCCUGGACUCAGGAUCCCCUAGGCUGGUCACCUCUGCUUGUGGGUGCUUCAUCCAUCUCCCUGUGGAUGCCAUAAAAGCACUGUCCCUUUCUCUGUGUGCCACACUGUGGAAAAGGUUGAGAAUCACCGCUAGUCCACUCCUGUGUCUGUAGCAAGAAUAGUAAUUAAAGUGCCUCGGGAAGCGCUGGCUGUGUCCUUAGCUCUUCAGCACUGCCUGAACCCCAUGCUCCUCAGGAAUGAGCCCC
rnacentral:lncRNA from 1 species